UUUGGGGACUGCUCCAGCAGUCAUCUUGCCACUAGUGAGAUCAUCAGCAUAACGAAACCUCUUCAUGGUUUUCCAAGAGCAGCUUUCUUCCCUAGUUUCGGCACCACUUAGCCCUUCUGCAAAUGCUUUUAAAAGUAGCCGUGUUGCACCCUUUCCUAAUCACAAACGCUGCUACAGUCUUCAUUCCUGUACAUAUAGUUCAGGUCAUUUGCACAGACCUUGCUACACUGUAGCCACCUGGCUGAGCAGGUGCCACAUUGUACAACUUGUAUAAUGCUUCUUCUGUGUGAGUAACGUCUGCGCCUGUGUCUUCUGCCUGCCCGGCACUAACUCACAGUACAAUGUAUUUCUCAAUUUUAUCGGUGCCCCUUCCUUCAUUAACUGCCUGCACAACUGACUUGCUCUUUAGGUGACCCGCUAAGAAGGGCAGUGCUGCUGACAGACAACAGAAGGCCUUGGUGGACCUGGUUCCACAUCUUUUGUCUCCUGAAUUGGACAGCUGGACUUCUGAGACAGCUUAAAGUCCUCUAAUACCUGUACAGUGCUUGCUCUCUGUGGUGACCUAGUCGCUAGGACCCAGGCAAGACAGGUCAGAGUAACCUCUUCGAUAGCUGUCAGCCCAGCCACUUAUCCUAGGGAAGGAAAACCUGGGGAGCUCUGGUCUCUUUUUCCUCUUCAACUUGCCUCUUUCCUGAUACAUCUUGAUUCGGCGGCGUUCAUAGGGUCUGAUGAGCACAGUCUAAUGCCAUUGCUUCCUCCUGCACAAUGGCGACUUGGCCUCUAAGUAACUGUCUUCAUUAGUGCUAUAGAGCACUCUACAUCAGUAUUUGUCUCUAUAUUAUUGCUUGGCAGGACUGACAAAGGCUAGAUCCUUAAACAUUAGCCCAUCUGAGACACGUCAUUGGAGCCCAUGGAAUCCUACACCUUGUACAGAUCCAGUCCUUUAGAGGCACUGGCUGAGGUUCCCUUGGUUCUUCCGUUGAAUCUCAGGGGGCAGUCUUUGAGCUCCUUGGUUUUUACAGCAACCAAGCAGAGUGGUUAUUAGAAAGUCAUUGUCUCGAUAAGCCCUUUCUGUGCAAAGAUUUUCUCCCAUUAGUGGCAUCACUGUCAGUUUCCACUUCUGAUGGCAUGAAAUGAACAUGUGGUUAGGCAGUCUGUUGGGUGGGGGUUAUCGGAAAACAGUUCCCUGGCUUUUCUUCGUUUUUGUUUCUGGCAUGAGCACUAAAUCCUGAGCCUUGGCACUGAGAUACGUGCCUUUAUUUCAUUCUACUUUAUUUUUUCCACUUCACUUCAUUCAUUUCAUUUCGAGACAGUCUUGCUAAGCCACUAAAUCGCCCAGGCUGGACUUGAAUUUGUGAUGCUCCUGCUUCAACUUCCCACAGUGCUGUCAUUACAGGUGCCUGCCACCACGCCAGGCCCAUUUUCUAUUCUGAGGCGCAUAAGUCUCAAUCCAGGCUGUGAGUCUUUCUUUGACUUGUCUAGUAUGCUGAGGAAUCUACAAUUUCCUGAUAUUUGAGAGUGCAGCAAAAGAAAAGCUUCCCACCUUGUCUUUCUGGUACUGGUUUAAAAUCUUAUGGCUCCAAGAGCUGCCAACUUCUACAAGAGGGGAAUAUCUGCAGUAAAAAUGAUCUCAGCACGCGGUUGCUGAGCUUCAGAUCCGGAAAUUCUCAACCUCUUUCAGCCAUCACCCAAAUCUCUACAAACUGACGGGUAUGAUGAAUCUGGAAACCAAGAAGGUGUUUCCUGUGGAGCCCAUUUGUCUUCUUCCUGCCCGGCACACGGUUGCGCAACAGGCUGAUCUGCGAGCCCAGCCAGGCAACACGCACACAGGGAAACAAACCAACCUCCACUGUGCACCUGCAGCUCCGCGGAAGACACGCGGAAUACGGGCCACGCCUCUACUGACUGAGAAGGUCGGGACCGAAGGGAGCCAGCCUCUCUGCCGGGGACUCCUCUCUCUGCGGGGCCCCACGAGCCUGGUCAGAGACCUGGAACCAAAGGGCCUGGGCGCCUCACCUCCUCACCCACCGAGAGCCAAGGCGGCGCUUUCUGAGCCCAAAGGGAACGGGACGCACGCGCCAGAGGAGCGCUUGUGCUGAGCUGAGGCGCCCACCGCGCUAGAUCAGGCCCGAGCACGGGCCAGUUUCCUGGGGGCCUGGCCUCGGAGCGCCGCGCACGGCGCAGGUGGAUCUUUCAAGACAGCCAUCCGCGCCCGCAAGAAAGUCAUUAGAAGGUCCCUGGUGGUCUAGUGGCUAGGAUUCGGCGCUUUCACCGCCGCGGCCCGGGUUCGAUUCCCGGUCAGGGAACACCUUUUGCCACACCUGCCAUCUGCGAACCUGGUGUGUCUCCAGGACCUUGGGCUGCACUGCUCUCGCUCCUCUGCUUGGGCGGUGCCUCUCCAGUCAACGACCUUCAGGGACCUUCCUGGACGACCAGGAGGUGCCCAAUGCCUUUCCGGCUGGCUCCUCAGGGUUGCUCUGAUGGACAACUGGGUCUUGGGUCAGCCAGAAGACCUCCGGAACCACCUAGGCAAGGGAAACUCUUCUGGGAAGUGCGGUGGCCCCUUGUGUUUGCCAGACUGUGUGCACCCUGCAGGGGUCUUCUUCAAGGGCUCUGAUCACCUCGCAGAAGCUGGAGAACCAGUGUGUGUGGCUGGCAAGGUGAGAGAGAGAAGAGCAUGCAGAGAAUGGAUCAAAGGAAACGAAGGGGAAGGUUCUCCACAGCUUUGCAGAGUGUUGUGGCGAUACAGGAGCUAAGGCCACAGAUGGGAAUCCUGAAGAUCACGGACUCCAUUAGUGGAUGUCAGGGAAUGCACCGUCAUACUGUCAUCUUCAGAAGUCGGAAAGCCGGAGCACUGUUUCCUCCAGCAACUUUAAUGGAGGCCUGAUGUUUUCCCGAGGGGCUCACGCAUCGGAAAGAAUGCUGUGGGGCUGGGGAUUUAGCUAAGCGGCGUAAGUGCCUGCCUUGCAAGCCUGUGGUUGUGUUUGAUCCCGGUACCAAUUCAAAAAAUAGUAAUAAUAAAAAAAAGAAAACUCUG